GAUUCAUAAUAACUUCUCGAAUCGCACGGCCUUGCGCCGGCGAUGGUUCAUUCAAAUUUCUGCCCUAUCAACUUUCGACGGCUGGGUCUUGGCCAGCCGUGGUGACAACGGGUAACGGAGGGUUAGGGCUCGACCCCGGAGAAGGAGCCUGAGAAACGGCUACUACAUCCAAGGAAGGCAGCAGGCGCGCAAAUUACCCAAUCCCGACUCGGGGAGGUAGUGACAAUAAAUACUGAUACAGGGCUCUUUUGGGUCUUGUAAUUGGAAUGAGUACAAUUUAAAUCCCUUAACGAGGAACAAUUGGAGGGCAAGUCUGGUGCCAGCAGCCGCGGUAAUUCCAGCUCCAAUAGCGUAUAUUAAAGUUGUUGAGGUUAAAAAGCUCGUAGUUGAACCUUGGGCCUAGCCGGCCGGUCCGCCUCACCGCGUGCACUGGUCCGGUUGGGCCUUUCCUUCUGGGGAACCUCAUGCCCUUCACUGGGUGUGUUGGGGAACCAGGACUUUUAC
rnacentral:rRNA from 1 species